CAUUAAUAUAGAUUGAAAGAAUUGUAAAAUGAUUUUCUACUCGAAUAUUACGAUCUUUCUAUUUCAUCGUCCCGAUAUUCAUUAGAAUUUUUCCCGUCGCGUAAAUCUGCAUUCACUCGAAACGCAGAAUUUCUAACGCGACAACCAAUCGCGAUAGUAUUUUCUACUUGCUUCUGGAUUAACUUAAAACAUGCGCGAGUUCUUUCAUCCUUGAACAGGAUAGCGAUAAAGGCUGUUUGAGCGUCGAUGAACAUAUUUCUUCGCUGUUUUUUUCUUUUCUUUUUACUGUCGAGCAGCGUAUAAUUCACGUGGCCCACAUAGCUGGAGUUUCUCGCGGCAGACCACGUGUUAAACGUUCUAACGAAUACACACUCUACUUUUCGAUGCCCCGUGUGUAUUUUUCUAUCAUCAUACGCGCUCUGUACAAUUUCGUCCUUCUAAAUCUCCCAUAGACGCGUCACCUGUUAGUGCCAUUCUUCUCUCGAACUAUCGACGGUAUGUAAAAAUAUCUUGAUAACUAUCGUGACACCCUGUAUAUUCAGACAUCGUAUUAACCGCGGAAGCGGUCCUGAGGCGCGUGCAAGUAACUUUCGCCUUCGUGAGAGGCACGCUAGGUGGCCAAGCCACAUACACGGCAGCAGCUGUAUCUGCUUUUCGGGCAAGAACUUGACCCACAAUUCCGGAAAUGGAAGUAAAAGAAGAUUCAUCGCCAUCGUUCUCGUUGUCGUCGCCGUCGUCGUCGUCGUCGUCGUCGUGGUUCCCUCGACUUUCUCUCUCGCUGGGGAAACGCAGGCUGCGAAUCCGCUCAAAUAAAAAUACCGUUUACAGGGAGAAACAUCGAACACCUUGUAUGGAAGUACUGAGACAAAGCCUCGUAAAAUGGCAACGAAAGCGGGGAAAGAAAAUUAAGGAGAGAGAGAAAAAGAAUAGAUCCGAACAUUUAGUCGCUUUCUAAGACGAGAUACACGCGUUUACGCGAAACGUAAAUUCGCCGGUUUAGAUGUUUUUAUGGAUCCUCGAAGCGACCACUUCGUUUCUAGAUCAAUUUCUAUCGUUACAUCGAACUGACGGGAGAAAAAUGAAUUUUACUUUUACUGUUUUCUCUUUUAGAAACGAGGCGAAGAGUCGAAGGAUGCUUGGCAAAUGAACGAUACUUGGAGAUAAAACUUGGUGGUAAAGGAGCGAGAAUGGAAGGUGGAAUAAAAGCGCGGAGGAAGGCGGGGAAUGCUGGAGGGGGAAAGGAUGUAAACGGAAGUGACCUUGGGAAUUGUUGGACAUCGAGACGUGGCGUAUACAUAGAAACGUGAUUAGGAGGGGCGUACCACAGGACAGAACGUAGAAUCGAAGUAGGAAUAGGUAGAAAGUAAUGGGAGAAAUGAAGCCGCAAAGAAGAUGUAUAUCUUAUAAUAUAUUCUAGGUCAUUGCUUAAAAUGGACGACUCUACAAAUGCAUCUCAAGUGCUUUAAGAAACAUUUCAUUUUAGUCGCUUUAGUUUUGUAUACACAGAAUGGAUGACGAAAGUGGAACGUGUGCAGUAGCCUUAAGUUUUGUGUGGCAAGUAUAUCUAUAUAAAAAUAUGUAAAAAUUUUGUGUAAAACUAAGCAAGAGAGAACAGUUUGCGCGGAAGAACGAGUUAAAUAACACUGUAAGCUAUUACUUUGCCUGCUACUACGUUUUUAUCAUAAAUACAACUAUCUAAUUAAUUAACCCGAAAAAGGCAAAUCAAGAUUCUCUUUCUUCUUCGAAACGUUCACGUAAAAAGGUAUUACGACACACAAAAAAAAGUCGAUAAUUAUAAGAAGGAAUUGAAAAGACGAAUAUUUCCUACGAUGUUCCAAGCUUUUACAUCUACGCACAUGCUAUUUUCUCUCUUUUUUUUUUUUACUGAAUUUUUCUCUUUUCGUUCGACGAUGUUCACGCCAACGCGAUCGCACAGAUGCUUUCUCGUUUAGGCUUGUCUAGGUGGUCACAGUUGGACAAAAGUGGGCAUUUUACGGGACAAAUGAAAGCUCCGAUCGCGUUGUCGAGAUCGUUCUGCUUGUCGCGUGGCUAUUAGAUUACUUCCUCUUACGUAAAAGGAGGAAAUCUGGCUCCAAAAGCGGAUUUUACGAUCAACAAAUAUGGUACGGAUAUAUGGCGUCUGGCAAAGGGAAGUUUCUGCUCGAGAUGUAAUUGUCAAUCGUCAUUGUCCAAAGAAACAAAAAUAUUUUUUUCACGAUUUCUCUAUCUCGUCUCGUGCCACUCGAUCUCUCGCGUGUAGCCAAUUCAAUUUAUUAGUUUGUCUACGAUGGAUCGAGUACGCGACGAAACGUACGAAAGAAAAGUUACGAGUUAGGAACGAAAGCGAAGCUACGAGAGAAAACCGACGAAAGAAAAGCCAGAGAAAGAGUGCGAGAGAGAGAGAGAGAAAAAAAAAGAAACGCUGAUCCGACGAAAAAGAAACUCAUCAUUGUCGCGAGAGAAUCAACGUUCCUCGUGGUAGUAGCUUUUUCAUUUCCACUACUUUAGCAGCGAGCACAAUAAAUAAUGCAUCGCGAAUAGGCUACCAGCGUAAAAGAAGGGUAAUGCGAUUCAGCAAAUCAGCUGGGAAACUGGAAGCGAGCAGACGCGUUUACGUGAUAAUAGAAAAUUAUAUAUCCUGUGGAAAAAGAACGGGAAAAGGGAACGAACGCUCGCUUCUCGUGCGUACCGUACCGAGCAGAUAAACCGUAUGAAAGUUUCAGCCUCGUGUGAAAGUGCGCGCGGCUCCUCUCUCGUUUUACGACUGCGGAGCACACUCUUACCAGCCACGACACGUCGUCUUCUUCGUUCAAAUCCAUCAACGAGAUAUCGCGUUGAUAAUAAGUCGAGAAUACGGAACAAACUUUUCACCCACGGCGCUUCGUUUCCGAGAAAAUCGAGUUUGAAAAUUCGCCAAGUAUACUUGGACUUGGCUCGUUCAGAACGAAACGGGAGCAAACAAUGGACGGGAGGUUAAACUGCGUGUAAAAAUAAGUAAAAAACGUGCGAUUCGAUUUUAUCGUAAGAUGCUUCGUGUUCGAGAAAAAUACAUUUGAAAAUGCGUGCGUAUAUCCUGGGCCAAUUUUUAAUUGAACACGCUCCAACACGUAUAAUGCGUCAAGUUCGAUUAACUUCGACGAAUUCGUGUUACGAGAACGAUUACGCUCGAAGAAGAUGUCUUGCAAACGAGAAUCGGACAAAAGAUAAUGUCUGAAAAUUUCUCGUGUCCUCAACCUCGCCGCUCGAAGUUUCCACUCCUUGUUUCAACGUAUUUCCCACAACUUCGGUAGCAAAUCUGUUUCUCCAUCUUCAAUUUUUUUCCUCGAAUCUUUUGGAAAUUCCAGCUCGUUGUCUCUUUUCCAUUGCCGGAGUUCGAACGUAGAACGCUGAAUUAUAUAAAUCUAUAUUUUUUUUUUUUUUUUUUUUUUUUGUUCCAAUGUCUCGACGUAUUAAAAUCAGCGAUUAAAAAUAUUACAACUAUCGGAAUUAACAACUGUUUCAUAAAUGUUAAUUAAUUUACGUACUGAAAGAAUUCGCUCUGAAAUAUCAAUAAAAGAGACUUACUUCGCGGCAAUUCGCUGUCUUUCAUGUUUAUUACUUAUCAAAUAAAUCCAACUGGUUGAAGUAUAUCAAGCUGCACAGCCGUAAUAGACCUUGCGCAACCGUUAAUGCCAUCCACGAUGGACGAGCAAGAAAUUGACACUCUCUACAGCGGGAAUGCUCGUCGAGCAUCGUACUAUUUUACGAGUACAAGUUUUCUCCGAGAAUAUAAAACCGCGAUAAAUAACGUCCCAUAAAGAUGAGAUCGAUACACCAAACUUGAUAUUUACAUUUCUCUACGUAACGUUAGAUAAUAGAUAAACGUUAGACUGGCAUUACCAUCUACAUGGAAAUCUCACGUUAUUUGAAAAAUUACGACCUCAACGUUUACGAGAAAUACGCACGCGAGGAACGCUAUAAAUCGGGCGUGUAAAAGUUUUCGGGUGAAGAACGAAAACAGAUUCUGAGAGAGGGAUAGAUCGUAUUUUGAUUUUCGAAUCUUCCGUUAGAUAAAUAAAUUACAAAAUAUAAUACAGAACGAAUAUCUUUCUAACGAUCCAUAAUUCACGAAUUAUUAAUUAACGCUUCACCGACCGCUAGUAGUUCAGCAGCAUACGCACGUCCGACCAGCAGAAAGAAGAUUGUCGGCAACAAAAAGUCGAUUAAUAGGCUAUCGGUCGAUAAGCGUCGGCGACAAAAACCGAUUAGUCGGCUAUCGGUCGGUAAAGCGUUAAGUAUGAAAUAAAUGUGUUUAAUUUUGGCAAAAUUGAGUUGAAACUUUAACGCGUUAUAAAUAUCAGGAUAGAUGAGAUAAAUUGCACUAUCGAUAAUCGGCGAGAAGAAAUUUUUCUGAAACAAGCUCUAGAAGGAUUAGAAAAAGAGAAAAGAUUGAGAAGAAAAAUAAUUCGAAAUAGAAGUGAUCAACAUACGGAAGUAAAAUAGGAAGUAAACAUUCUAAUGGAACAACGCUCUAUGUACAAACACGUUAUUCGAUGAUACAGCUGGUUUUCAUUAAGCAACGGAAAUAUUCGCAUGCAUAAGAUGCUAAUUAAAAGUGAUAUUGCGUAAAGAAAUCGUGACAUCGCUAAAUGAGUCAAAAAAAUUAUUCAACGAAUAAAUUGAUUUGAACUGAUUUCAACGAAUAUUCCUUUAUCGUUUGUUAUUCUAUGUUUGCUUGAUCGUAUCGUAGCUGAACUUCAAACAAAAUUAACAAUAAGACAAUUACAAAGUACAACUUGAUUAUAGAAAUUAAUUUGUAACUGUAGGUAAGUGAUACGAAACGAACAAUUAGUCAACGAAGAAUAACGAACGAACAGCCUUCUCUCCAUCUUUCUCUCCCCCCUCUUCCAUGAAGAAUAUUCUUCUCUCGAAUCUAUCUUGCAAAAUUCGCAUUCAACUAAACAGCAAAGUUUUACAUGGUCUAAUAACAUCUGAAUACGAACAUGUUCUAAAUACUCGUCUAAAUAAACGAACUACCUAGUUAGUGUAACUCGCUAUGAUGUACCAAGGGAAAUAGGUGCAAGAUACAUCAAAUAGGUUAAGUCGAAGUCGAGGUCUGUGCGAAGUUUGCUUUUGGCUUUAAUUCUACUUUAACGAGAUUGUAAGGACAUACGAAGAUAAAUCUUCAAUAUACGAGAACAGUAUACGAGAUGAGAUAAGGUAUUGCGACAACACAUAAACAAUUAAAUAAAUAAAUAAUCUUUUGCUCUUGAAAACGUUACAAAAACGCAAAACACCUGCGACCUUUGCUCUGAAUAAUAAUUGCGAAUUAAAUUAAAUUGCAUUCGAUACAAGGACUAUCGCUAUUUUUCUAAGCUCGUAGUUCUAAUUUCUAAACAACGUUCUAGAAAUUAUUCGAUUAUACAAGUUAGAUGAUUCAGCCUGUACGCGACGACCAAUGAACGAAGAAGCGUCGCAUCGGUUAAUUAAAAAGGAAAACGCGACAAAAGCGUAGCUAACGAGCGCGAUGAAAGAGAGUGGAGACGACGAAGACGACGAGGACGACAACGACGACGAUGAUGCUGAGAACAAAAGGAAACGAGAAUAAAAGACGAGUCACUGGUAGUUUCGCAAUAUCGUUGCUCGACUAGGAUAGAUAGAGAUCGGGAGACGAGCUGAGCAGCGCGGCUUCUUGCAGUUCUUGCACAUCGUGGGGAUGGAUGCACAGUCCACUGCACGUGGGAAGGUCGUGCUAUGAAUCGAAGAUCGUGAGAUCUUCGCGGAGCGCACUUUCUAUUAGAAUUCACUCGACGGAGGUUUACCUCCGUAUUGCACCGCGAUCGCGAAAUUGUCGCUAUUUACGCUGGCCAUUUGUAAUUCGUACAUACAGCUUUAUUUUCUAAUGAAACGUUUCUUUGUUCUCAGAUUCUACGGUUUAUCCGGCGAAUGUAUCGAGCGAUUUGUAGUCGUACGAGAUAUACUACGAAAUGAAAUUUGAUAAUGGGCUUAAUCAAUUAAUUGAUAAAUUCUAUAUAAUAAAUACUUGUCGAUAUACAUUACGUACAUUUUAUAAUAUUUAAUCUGUACUUUCGUAAAAUAUAUUUUCGUAAGCAGAUACACGGACGGGGAAUAGCAACCGAAGCAGCAAGACUACUCGGAUAUUAUAACUUUUUGUUUUCACAUUUUAUAGAUCGUUGGAGCGUUAUUACGCUUAUGCUUGGUGUAUUAUAUCCGAAAACACUGAUACGUGCGGAUAGUGCGAUAAAAAACAUGUAAACAGGUAUAGACGACUCGCUUGUAACAGACUACGAGUCUAAAGUGUAAAUAAAUUAUUAUCAUAUUCUA